rnacentral:tRNA from 5 species
GCCGGCAUAGCUCAGUUGGUAGAGCAGCUGAUUUGUAAUCAGAAGGUCCCGAGUUCGAAUCUUGGUGUCGGCA